rnacentral:rRNA from 1 species
UACAGAGGGGGCAAGCGUUGCUCGGAAUCACUGGGCGUAAAGGGCGCGUAGGCGGGAUGGCAAGUCAGUCGUGAAAUCUCUCGGCUCAACCGAGAAACGUCGGCUGAUACUGCCGUUCUUGAGGGAUGCAGAGGAGACUGGAAUUCCCGGUGUAGCGGUGAAAUGUGUAGAGAUCGGGAGGAACACCGGUGGCGAAGGCGGGUCUCUGGGCAUCUCCUGACGCUGAGGCGCGAAAGCGUGGGGAGCAAACGGG